rnacentral:rRNA from 1 species
AGUGAGCGCUGGCGGUAGGCCUAACACAUGCAAGUCGAACGGCAGCACAGUAAGAGCUUGCUCUUACGGGUGGCGAGUGGCGGACGGGUGAGGAAUACAUCGGAAUCUACUUUUUCGUGGGGGGUAACGUAGGGAAAAUUACGCUAAUACCGCAUACGACCUACGGGUGAAAGCCGGGGAUCUUCUGACCUUGCGCGAUUGAAUGAGCCGAUGUCGGAUUAGCUAGUUGGCGGGGUAAAGGCCCACCAAGGCGACGAUCCGUAGCUGGUCUGAGAGGAUGAUCAGCCACACUGGAACUGAGACACGGUCCAGACUCCUACGGGAGGCAGCAGUGGGGAAUAUUGGACAAUGGGCGCAAGCCUGAUCCAGCCAUACCGCGUGGGUGAAGAAGGCCUUCGGGUUGUAAAGCCCUUUUGUUGGGAAAGAAAAGCAGCAGGUUAAUACCCCGCUGUUCUGACGGUACCCAAAGAAUAAGCACCGGCUAACUUCGUG